rnacentral:rRNA from 1 species
GAUGGACUCGCGGCCUAUCAGCUUGUUGGUGAGGUAAUGGCUUACCAAGGCGACGACGGGUAGCCGGCCUGAGAGGGUGACCGGCCACACUGGGACUGAGACACGGCCCAGACCCCUACGGGAGGCAGCAGUGGGGAAUAUUGCACAAUGGGCGAAAGCCUGAUGCAGCGACGCCGCGUGAGGGAUGACGGCCUUCGGGUUGUAAACCUCUUUCAGUAGGGAAGAAGCGAAAGUGACGGUACCUGCAGAAGAAGCGCCGGCUAACUACGUGCCAGCAGCCGCGGUAAUACGUAGGGCGCAAGCGUUAUCCGGAAUUAUUGGGCGUAAAGAGCUCGUAGGCGGUUUGUCGCGUCUGCCGUGAAAGUCCGGGGCUCAACUCCGGAUCUGCGGUGGGUACGGGCAGACUAGAGUGAUGUAGGGGAGACUGGAAUUCCUGGUGUAGCGGUGAAAUGCGCAGAUAUCAGGAGGAACACCGAUGGCGAAGGCAGGUCUCUGGGCAUUAACUGACGCUGAGGAGCGAAAGCAUGGGGAGCGAACAGGAUUAGAUACCCUGGUAGUCCAUGCCGUAAACGUUGGGCACUAGGUGU